rnacentral:rRNA from 1 species
AGGACGAACGCUGGCGGCGUGCUUAACACAUGCAAGUCGAGCGACGCUCCUCCUUCGGGAGGAUGACGGAGCGGCGAACGGGUGAGUAACACGUGGGCAACCUGCCCCUAGCUCUGGGAUAACCCCGGGAAAUCGGGACUAAUACCGGAUAUGAAGUCGGACGGCAUCGUCUGACUUGGAAAGUUUUUCGGCUAGGGAUGGGCCCGCGGCCUAUCAGCUUGUUGGUGGGGUAAUGGCCUACCAAGGCGACGACGGGUAGCCGGCCUGAGAGGGCGACCGGCCACACUGGGACUGAGACACGGCCCAGACUCCUACGGGAGGCAGCAGUGGGGAAUAUUGCACAAUGGGCGAAAGCCUGAUGCAGCGACGCCGCGUGAGGGAUGACUGCCUUCGGGUUGUAAACCUCUUUCAGCAGGGACGAAGCGAAAGUGACGGUACCUGCAGAGAGCACGCCAACUACGUGCCAGCAGCCGCGGUAA